UACGGGGGGAGCAAGCGUUGUUCGGAUUUACUGGGCGUAAAGGGCGCGUAGGCGGUCAGCACAAGUCAGUUGUGAAAUCUCCGGGCUUAACUCGGAAAGGUCAACUGAUACUGUGCGACUAGAGUGCAGAAGGGGCAACUGGAAUUCUCGGUGUAGCGGUGAAAUGCGUAGAUAUCGAGAGGAACACCAGUGGCGAAGGCGGGUCUCUGGACAGUUCCUGACGCUGAGGCACGAAGGCCAGGGGAGCAAACGGG
rnacentral:rRNA from 1 species